rnacentral:tRNA from 1 species
AGAGAGGUGCCCGAGUGGUUGAAGGGGCACGCCUGGAAAGCGUGUAUGCGGGUAACCGUAUCGAGAGUUCGAAUCUCUUCCUCUCUGCUA